AGCAAAAUGAUGAGCUAACUUAUCUGAGCUAUUAGUGCUGAAGCAUUUAACGUAAUUGCCUUAAAAGUUUUCCGAUUGCU
rnacentral:snoRNA from 1 species